rnacentral:rRNA from 1 species
AUUACAGAGUUGCAAAACUCCCUUAACCAUUGUGAACGUUACCCAAACCGUUGCUUCGGCGGGCGGCGCCCCGGCGCCCCCGGCCCCUCGCGGGCGCCCGCCGGAGGUACCCAAACCAUUGAUACUUUAUGGCCUCUCUGAGUCUUCUGUACUGAAUAAGUCAAAACUUUCAACAACGGAUCUCUUGGUUCUGGCAUCGAUGAAGAACGCAGCGAAAUGCGAUAAGUAAUGUGAAUUGCAGAAUUCAGUGAAUCAUCGAAUCUUUGAACGCACAUUGCGCCCGCCAGUAUUCUGGCGGGCAUGCCUGUUCGAGCGUCAUUUCAACCAUCAAGCCCCCGGCUUGUGUUGGGGACCUGCGGCUGCCGCAGGCCCUGAAAAGCAGUGGCGGGCUCGCUGUCACACCGAGCGUAGUAGAUCUCAUCUCGCUCAGGGCGUGCUGCGGGUUCCGGCCGUCAAACCACCUUCAUAACCCAAGGUUGACCUCGGAUCAGGUAGGAAGACCCGCUGAACUUAAGCAUAUCAAUAAGCGGAGGAAAAGAAACCAACAGGGAUUGCCCUAGUAACGGCGAGUGAAGCGGCAACAGCUCAAAUUUGAAAUCUGGCCUCGGCCCGAGUUGUAAUUUGCAGAGGAAGCUUUAGGCGCGGCACCUUCUGAGUCCCCUGGAACGGGGCGCCAUAGAGGGUGAGAGCCCCGUAUAGUUGGAUGCCUAGCCUGUGUAAAGCUCCUUCGACGAGUCGAGUAGUUUGGGAAUGCUGCUCAAAAUGGGAGGUAAAUUUCUUCUAAAGCUAAAUACCGGCCAGAGACCGAUAGCGCACAAGUAGAGUGAUCGAAAGAUGAAAAGCACUUUGAAAAGAGGGUUAAAUAGCACGUGAAAUUGUUGAAAGGGAAGCGCUUGUGACCAGACUUGCGCCGGGCGGAUCAUCCGGU